rnacentral:tRNA from 1 species
UUCUUAAAGGUGUUUUUUGCACAGGAAUAUUUGAAAUUCAAAGAUUUUUUAUUAUAGUUAAGAAA